rnacentral:snoRNA from 1 species
UUCCCAGAUGAUAGACAAUGAACAUACUAUCCUCCAAUUUUAAUGCAUGAGUUGAUUCUUUUAGCAUGUUGUGGUGAAA